rnacentral:sRNA from 1 species
ACUGGGCAUGGUGGUGCAUGCCUGUAACCCAGUGGCUUGGGAGGCUGAGGCAGGAGGAGGAUCGAGAGUUCAAAGCCGGCCUCAGCAACAGUGAGGAGAUAAGCAACUCAGUGAGACCCUGUCUCUA